UCCCACGGCCCCAGCUUGUCUGGCAAAACAGCCGUUGGACGUCAGAGUAAUCUCGGACUAUUACGUUUGAUAACUAUAUAUUGAUUCGGGGUAUGAUCUACAUAUCAUAUAUAAAUAUGCUAUUGAGAAUCAUACAUUAUUAAUGGUCAAUUAUUAUAUUAAAUUAAAUCAAUUCAUUUGAAAGUUCACCUUUCAAACAAAGUGCUUUCAAAUAAGUUCCCAAAUGAACCCCGGUGAGUUAGUGCUUAUAUAAGUAGUGCUUAUAUAAGCAUGGGUCAUAUUUCAAAUAUUGUAUAUAAGUAUAGGUCAUUCUUUCUU
rnacentral:lncRNA from 1 species